GCCCUUGAGUUUGAUCCUGGCUCAGAUUGAACGCUGCGGCGUGCUUAACACAUGCAAGUCGUGCGAGAAAGGGGACUUCGGUCCCUGAGUAGAGCGGCGCACGGGUGAGUAACGCGUGGAUUAUCUACCCAGACGUUCGGGAUAACGGCGGGAAACUGCCGCUAAUACCGGAUACGCUCCAAUUUCGGUUGGGGGAAAGGCGGCCUCUGCUUGCAAGCUGUCGCAUCUGGAUGAGUCCGCGUCCCAUUAGCUUGUUGGUGGGGUAAUGGCCUACCAAGGCUACGAUGGGUAGCUGGUCUGAGGGGAUGAUCAGCCACACUGGAACUGAAACACGGUCCAGACUCCUACGGGAGGCAGCAGUGGGGAAUAUUGCGCAAUGGGGGAAACCCUGACGCAGCGACGCCGUGUGAGGGAAGAAGGCUUUCGGGUCGUAAACCUCUGUCAGAAAGGAAGAACCUCCCAAGUCCGAAUAGGGCUUGGGACUGACGGUACUUUCAAAGGAAGCACCGGCUAACUCCGUGCCAGCAGCCGCGGUAAUACGGAGGGUGCAAGCGUUAAUCGGAAUCACUGGGCGUAAAGCGCGCGUAGGCCGCUUUGUAAGUCGGACGUGAAAGCCCUCGGCUCAACCGGGGAACUGCGUUCGAUACUGCGAGGCUUGAGUCCUGGAGAGGGUGGCGGAAUUCCGGGUGUAGGAGUGAAAUCCGUAGAUAUCCGGAGGAACACCGGUGGCGAAGGCGGCCACCUGGACAGGUACUGACGCUGAGGCGCGAAAGC
rnacentral:rRNA from 1 species